GAAUGUGAGGACGAUCUGGAUGCGACAUCUGCCCAGGGUUGAUUCAGCUGACCUGGCUGACUAAGCAGGUAGGUGUCCACUUCAUCCUUCACCGCUCUAUGUGCAUCCAUCCCUCCCUAAGCUGCGCACUCGAUGGAGGAGGAUGGCCUUUCCUGAAUAGAGAUGGACCAGUCUUUGAUAAAUGAGUAGCUGCACUCCCCUCCUAGACUCUCCAAACAAAUUCUCAAGGUCCAUUUGUAGGAGAAGAUAGGGUAGUCAAGAUUUCAAGAGUCCAGACAUAUCCAAAUGAGGCACUGCAUGUGGCAGUCUGUCUUUCUAA
ensembl:misc_RNA 7SK 7SK RNA